AACUUGAACUUCUAAUUAUUGUGCAAGUUUCCUAACUCAACUUGAGUUGUUAAUUCAAAGCAUGUUAGUGGUUAAUUAUUGUUGAUUAUACCACGUCAAUAAAUUAUUGAUUCGCACAUUGUGCAUGUUGUAUAUGUUCAUCAGGUAUGAAAGGCUGAUCACCUUCAUUACCAUAUGUUUCAGUUAAACUUGUUCAUGUUAAUUGUUGACAUCCAUUAUUAUUGGUUCAGUCAUUCAAUCGUUGAAAAAAAUUGAUUCAUGUUAUUUCACAAUUAUUAUAUUGUUGAAAACUUGAAAGCUUAUCCAUUCUUUUCAAUCAUGAUAUAUCUCCUUUGUAUGUAAAACUUGCUGGGCAAAUUUGUUGCUC
rnacentral:lncRNA from 1 species